AACGUAGGACACAAGCGUUAUCCGGAGUUACUGGGCGUAAAGGGCGUGUAGGCGGAUCGGUAAGUCUACUCUGAAAGCUCCUGGCUAAACUGGGAGAGGCGAGUGGAGACUGUCGGUCUAGAGUGAGGAAGAGGAAAGUGGAAUUCCGCGUGUAGUGGUGAAAUGCGUAGAGAUGUGGAGGAAUACCGAUGGCGAAGGCAGCCUCCUGGGCCAACACGUGACGCUCCAUGCA
rnacentral:rRNA from 1 species